AGAUUGAACGCUGGCGGCAUGCUUUACACAUGCAAGUCGAACGGCAGCACGGGGGCAACCCUGGUGGCGAGUGGCGAACGGGUGAGUAAUGCAUCGGAACGUAUCCUUGAGUGGGGGAUAACGCAGCGAAAGUUGUGCUAAUACCGCAUAAGCUCUGAGGAGGAAAGCGGGGGACCGAAAGGCCUCGCGCUGAAGGAGCGGCCGAUGUCCGAUUAGCUAGUUGGUGAGGUAAAGGCUUACCAAGGCGACGAUCGGUAGCUGGUCUGAGAGGAUGAUCAGCCACACUGGGACUGAGACACGGCCCAGACUCCUACGGGAGGCAGC
rnacentral:rRNA from 1 species